rnacentral:lncRNA from 10 species
UUCUAGGGAAGCUGGAAGUCCACCUUCCUGUUCCUCUUUUCCCACUGUAGAAACUGUGGGCCCUAAGGAAUCUUCUUUGUGGUGCUGUGCCGACUUGAGUCUACGGUUUCCUGGGCGCUUCAGUUCCUGCUUAAGUAUUAAAAUAUGAUGCAAGCCACUACACACCUAUUAGAAUAACAAAAAUUCAGAACAGUGACACAAAAUUCUGGCAAGGAUGUGGAGUAACAGGAACCUUUAUGCAUUGCUGGUGGGAAUGCAAAAUUGUACGGUGGUGCUGGAAAGCAGUUUGGCAGUUUCUUACAAGACUAAACAUACUCUUACCAUACAAUUCAACACUCGCACUACUUGAUAUCCACCUUAUGUCCACACAGAAACUGCACAUGGAUGUUUAUAUCAGCUUUAUUCAUAAUUGCUAACCAAGAUGUCCUUUAGUGGGUGAAUGGAUAAAUAAACUGUGUUACUCCAUGACAAUGGAAUAUUAUUCAGCACUAAAAAGAAAUGAGCUAUCAAACCCUGAAAAGACUUUUAGAGGAAACUUCAAUACAUGUUACUAAGCAAAAGAAGCUAAUAUGAAAAGCCACAUAUUGUAGGAUUCCAACUAUAAAACAUUCUGGAAAAGGCAAAACUAUGGAGACAAUAAAAAGAUCAGUGGUUGCCAGAGAUUAUGAGCAAUGAAGGAAUGAGUAGAUGAAGCAUAAAAAAUGUUUUAUGGCAGUGAAAUUAUUCUGUACAUUAUAAUAAUGGAUACAUGUUAUUGUACAUUUGUCAGAGCCCAUAAAUUUAUAUAUUGUGAUACAAUCCAUUUUACAUUUGUCCAAAACCAUGGAGUGUACAACACCAAGAGUGAACCUUAUGUAAAUUAUGGACUUUGGGUGAUCAUGAUGUGUCAAUGUAGGUCCCUAAAAUGUAAAAAAUGUGCCAUUCUGGUGGGGGAUAUUGAUAAUAAGGGAGACUGUGCAUGUGUGAAGGUAAGGGGGAUAUGGGAAAUGUCUAUUUCUUCUUUGCAAUUUUGCUAUGAAACUAAAACUCAUCUAAACUCACUAAAGUCUGUAAAAUAAAAAUAUGAUGGAGAAUAACAGAUAGAAAUAGUAUGACACCACACAGAUCAAUAUACAAAGGGUCGAUAAUGACACUUUUUGUCUUCAAUUUUGUAGAAUUUAUGCAUCUUUGAAUUGGGGGACUGAUUUUGUAGGAGACUGAAAGUUUUAGUCUACUUUUUCUGAAAUAGGAAGUAAGAUUGAACUAAAGUUUGGGAAUGAUUUUCUCAAUCCAAAAAUGUAUUUCCUAAUUAUGUUAUUUUUUC